UGUUUUUUUAGCUUAAAUAUAAAGCAAAGCUCUGAAGAAGCUUAGAUUAAUAAGACAAAGCUAUGUUUAAAACAU
rnacentral:tRNA from 1 species